rnacentral:sRNA from 1 species
GCCAGGUGUGGUGGCGCGGGCCUGUAAUCCCAGCAACUUGGGAGGCUGAGGCAGGAGAAUCGCGAGUUCAAAGCCAGCCUCAGCAAUGGCGAGGCCCUAAGCAACUCAGUGAGACCCUGUGUCUA